UAAUAAAGACACGCACCUUCACUGUCAGAAAUCAUGGACAUAAUGAGCCCGGGGUGUCUGGGCUCCUUCUCUGAAGUGCAUCUAUCUUGUCUGUUCCUAAUGAGGAGCCAAUACCACAAGAAUCACAAGAUAUUAAGGUGUGGGAUUUGAAGAGAGGAACUUGGACAUUUACAGAAACUCCAGGUGUGUCAUGAGAUUUAACGCUGCACUGUGGCCCGAUUUCUUCACUUCAUCCUUGAAUUGGAGUGAAGAGGGUUGGAUAGGCUCCUUCUCCUUCGAUGUGCAGAACAGGCCUGCGGAGCUGGAUGUUUACCCCCGACUCCACCAAAUGAAGACCGGUGGCAUUGAGAGGAAUGAAAAGAAGCUGUGCUUUAACUGUAUCAGCAAUACAGACAGGUUCAAGGAUCACACGUGAGUGGAGCAAUACAGCCAGCUGUAUGUGGGUAAGAUACACACAUAUACACAUUCAUAGAGAAAUCUCAUCAAACAGCUCUCCUGCAACUCCAAAAGUAAAUGCACUCACACAUCGGGGCUAUAAACACAGCUGAACAUGUUUUAGACAUAAGAAGCAGUACAUUACACUCCUACGGAUACACAAGGAAGACUGUAUAUUUAUUAAGAAACUUCUAAAUAUGACAAGUGAAAUUUACAUAAAUGUUACUUGCACUGAUAAACCCAUUAUCAGGCUGAUACCCAGUGCAUCCAGCCACAAGAGCCAUUUGCAUUAAUGCUCAUUUUAAUGUAAUCACUAACUGCUUUUAAAAUAAACUUGCUUGUUGGUAAAAAAAAAAAAAAAAAAAAAAAAAGGAUUUGAACUUUAAUAUUAAUGCUAGUUACUCCAGCUUACUGGAGCAGGAACCUGCAAGCACAACCAAGAAAAAAAUAUUAAAUUAGAAAUUGGUCAAAAAUCCCAUUAUGGCUAUGAAAAAAAUGUACAAGUUGGUUCUCAGGGGGUAAUUAUCCUUGAAAAUAUAUGACUUUGGCUUUUUUCUUGUGCUGUUUUGUUCCUUGGCUCAUUCAGCACAUUAGGAAAGUUUGCAGAGCAAUUGCUUUUAUCGUCACACACUAAAACCCAUGACAAAAAUUAUACAGAACCCAAAACAAACUUUUACAGUCCUGUUAAAGAUAUUUUGUUUCAAUUACCAUGAGGAAAUCCAUAAACCCAAAGACCCACUCCCAGGUCACCUUCGAUAGCUAAUAGCAUUAAACACAGUGAGAAGUCCAAGUCCGUUUAGCUCCUGUGUCACUGCCUUAUUUAUACACAACUAUGCCUCCAAGCAUUCUGGCCUAUAAGCACCCGAAAAUGUAAUUUUUUCCCCAGAUUAGACCUGAAAAAUGUAUUACCUGCAUAUCAAUGCCUCAUUUAAUAUACUGCUCUCUGUAAAAAAAAAAAAAAGGCUGAAAUGUCAUUUUUGUCCUUAGUCAGCCAGUUGAGAUGGAUUGUAGCAUUCGUUUCUGACCCUCAGUGUAGUAGUAAAUGCAUCUUAUUCAAUGAAGCAUGAUGGAACGAUUCUUAUAUCUGCCACAGAUUCAUUUUGUAUUCACUGCUCAUCUCCUGACUUAAACUUUAAAGCAGAUGUAAAAUUUAUUUAUACCUGUGCCAUCAUCGCUCGCCUUGGCUUCAAGCUCAAAUGUUCGUUUUAUAUUCCAGAGCUGCGAACGUAUUGACUUAACAUCAGCAUCUAUAUCUGACUGCCUUUGUGUUCAACUCGUGUUUUAUUUGCCUUUUAGUUUUCAACAUAAGUCACAUUUUACCAUUUCAGUACAAUUUGUUGUUUAUGGCUUGUUUCUGUGUUGUGUUUGUUUCUGCCUCUGCCUGUCAGGAAGGCCUGUCAGGACAGGAGAUAACAUUUCCAGACAAAAUAUCUCAGAAUAAACCAAUAAAUCAUGGUAUCAUUCUACAACAUAUACAGGGAUUUGUAUGGCAGACCUUCCUGAUAAAUGGAUUAAAAACAUGUAAUUGUUGAUAUGGUGGGGAGCACGGUGGCCAGCACGUUUGCCUCACACCUCCAAGGUUCAAAUCCCACCUCCGCCCUGUGUGUGUGGAGUUUGCAUGUUCUCCCCAUGCUUCAGGGGUUUCUGCCGGGUACUCCGGUUUCCUCCCCCAGUCCAAAGACAUGCAUUGUGGGCUGAUUGGCAUUUCCAAAUUGUCUGUAGUGAGUGAAUGGGUAUGUGAAUGUGUGUGCGAUUGUGCCCAGAGAUAGGUGGGCACCCCGUCCAAGGUGUGCCCCUGCCUUGUGCCCCAGGUCCCCCUGGGAGAGGCUCCAGGUUCCCCUGGGACCCUGCGUAGAAUAAGCAAUAUGGAAAGUAGAUGAAUGGAUGGAUGAAUGGAUGUUGAUAUGGAAAGAUUUCUCUGAGGAGAUGCUUAUUUAUUAUUUUUCUAAGGAGUCUCCAGUGUCAGCAUUUUGUGACAGUCAGGUAAAGCUGUAACUUUUCUGACACAAAAAAAUCUUGAGAACAGACAGCUUUGUGGUUUCUUAGUAACAUGGCAAGCUGAAUUUUUUUUGUUUGUUUUAUUACAUUCAAGAGAGAUAAAAAAAAUGCUGAUAAUAGGAUGACCGUUUAUAGGUAAUAGGAUGAUAAUUGGAAAUAACUUAUAAAUGGAUAAAAAUGAUGCUUCAUUUCUUCAUUUAAUAACAAAAAAAAAAUUAAUCUUUAGCUAAUUUCUGUGGUUUAAUGUAAUAAAUAAAACACUUCAGGUGUUGCACAUUGUAGAUUAUUUUCUGAUAACAGCACACCCCAUCAUACUUUAUUCCUUCCUAAUUACAGCUUCAUUUAGAGACAAAUGAAUUAAUUAUUUACCACCAGUUUAUGAUUUCACUUUAUUAAUACUGUAGGUUUCAUUAAACUCUCACUUUGCAAUUUUUGUCUUAAACCAUCAUUGUUUUUGCAGUUCGUUAGUUUUGCAGUUUUAAUAUAAUGGCUACAGUGGGAUUGUAAUCAUUAUAAUAAAUAAAAUAAUAAGGCCUGGGUGUGUGUUUACUAUAGGCCUACUCUGGCCUAAAUGGCUUUAUAUAACAACUUUAUAGCCGAGUAUUAUACACCACACACACACACACACACACACACACACACACAGAGCAGAAUGAAAGCACUUGAAAGUUAACUGAUAAUGAAGUGCCUCCUGCUCAUCUUCCUUUACUCUGCAGUUUAUAUAAAACAUUUAAGCUGCACUGCUUCUACUAAAUUUUAGAUGAAUCUACCAGAGUUUGUUAUCUGUCAAAUGCCAUUCCUGCUACAUGUUCUGUUUUUACAAUCCAUUACAAAUAAUGCUGGCCUGGUACGUAUGAAGUUGGCUCAGUGUUCUGUUUUGUUUGGCUUAGUGUUUAGCAUGUUUGCCUCACACCUCCGGGGUUGGGGGUUCGAUUCCCGUCUCCACGCUGUGUGCGCAGAGUUUGCAUGUUCUCCCCGUGCUUCGGGGGUUUCCUCCGGGUACUCUGGUUUCCUCCCCCAGUCCAAAGACAUGCAUUGUAUGCUGGUUGUAUGUAGUGUGUGAACGGGUGUGUGGGUGUGUGUGUGCGAUUGUGCCCUGCGAUGGGUCCAUUGUGUCCCCCACAUUUUGCCCUGAGCUCCCUGGGAAAAGCUCCAGGCUCCCCCAUGACCCUGUGUAGGAUAACACAGAAAAUGGAUGGAUGAUUCUCCAGAUUAAAAUCUUUGCCUCAGUGCUGUAGGUGCAGCUUCGUUGGACGCAUCCAUUGCCUGAAGAAGAACGGCGUGAAUCUAGACCUGGAAGAAAUGUCAAAGGUCACUCCUGGAUUUAAACCCAGAUGUUUUGGUCACUGGAACAGUUUCAGGAUGCACUGCCGCAACGGAGGGAAGUGUGUGACUGGUGUGAGUGCAGCGGCACGGCUUAUGAUGGACCUCUCUGCAUUAAAGCUUCCUACACAAGCAGUGCAGCGCAACAGGAACUGAUGAGGUGAUGAGGUCGAGGUGUGAAGCAGCAUCAAAGGUGCCAGGGGUCAGUGUUAGUGGACAUUGGUGAGACGGUGAGGGGGGACGCUCCACAGUUGGACUCGACCAGUUUGCCUUGGUGCGAGACGGAAAAAGUGAGCCGUGAACGAAGAGCCGCCUUCAGAGGAGCGAUGCUGUUAAACUGCACUCGGGACAGACAGCCUACGAAGCCAGGAGUGUUAUACUUCUCUAUCAGAACUGGGUCGAUGGGACCGGUUUCUGCAGGAAAGAAAGAGAAUCAUAAAUGGAGUGUGUGUUGUGCUGCAUAAUGCAUUUUGAAUCCAUCCGAGUUUUAGAACAAAAGCCUUCCAUGUAAUGCAUGAACUCCAAUGAACUUGCUUCUAGUAAACAUAAUCCACACAUAAUGUGUAUCCAUAUAGCGCCUGAAUGCGGUCUAAACUGGAUGUUUUUAAUUUGAACCCUACCACUAUACCCCUGAAACACUGGAAAACACUGGGAAAGCACUGUCUUUCUGGUGUGUGAGUCUUGACUCCAGUUCCUCAACCUCACCUACAUAACUCCAGCUCAUAACUAGAGAUUUGCACAAGUCUAUUUUUCCAAAUUAUAAACAAACUAGUAGCCUAAGUUAAAUGACCGCAACCCUGACCAAGCGGUUAUUGAGGACUAGCCAAGCUUCAUAUCUGACAACUCAUGAACCUUUCUGCUAAGCUUUCUAAAACAACAACAACAACAACAACAACAAACAGCUAAAGAGGUAUUUAAGCUGAAGAGGUUAUUAGUAAAUGAGCUUCAGGUC